UACGUAGGGGGCUAGCGUUAUCCGGAUUUACUGGGCGUAAAGGGUGCGUAGGUGGUUUCUUAAGUCAGAGGUGAAAGGCUACGGCUCAACCGUAGUAAGCCUUUGAAACUGGGAAACUUGAGUGCAGGAGAGGAGAGUGGAAUUCCUAGUGUAGCGGUGAAAUGCGUAGAUAUUAGGAGGAACACCAGUUGCGAAGGCGGCUCUCUGGACUGUAACUGACACUGAGGCACGAAAGCGUGGGGAGCAAACAGGAUUAGAUACCCCUGUAGUCCCUGAGCGGG
rnacentral:rRNA from 1 species